rnacentral:rRNA from 1 species
UACGUAGGGGGCAAGCGUUGUCCGGAGUUACUGGGCGUAAAGCGCACGCAGGCGGUCUGCUAAGUUUGGAGUGACAGUUGGUGGCUCAACCACCAAAGUGCUUUGAAAACUGACAGACUUGAGGGCUUCAGAGGGACACGGAAUUCCGGGUGGAGUGGUGAAAUGCGUAGAGAUCCGGAGGAACACCGAAGGCGAAGGCAGUGUCCUGGGGAGUACCUGACGCUCAGGUGCGAAAGCUAGGGGAGCGAACGGG